AACGAACGCUGGCGGCAUGCCUAACACAUGCAAGUCGAACGAGACCUUCGGGUCUAGUGGCGCACGGGUGCGUAACGCGUGGGAACCUGCCCUUAGGUUCGGAAUAACUCCCCGAAAGGGGUGCUAAUACCGGAUAAUGUCUUCGGACCAAGGAUUUAUCGCCUUUGGAUGGGCCCGCGUUGGAUUAGCUAGUUGGUAGGGUAAAAGCCUACCAAGGCGACGAUCCAUAGCUGGUCUGAGAGGAUGAUCAGCCACACUGGGACUGAGACACGGCCCAGACUCCUACGGGAGGCAGCAGUGGGGAAUAUUGGACAAUGGGCGAAAGCCUGAUCCAGCAAUGCCGCGUGAGUGAUGAAGGCCUUAGGGUUGAAAAGCUCUUUUACCCGGGAUGAUAAUGACAGUACCGGGAGAAUAAGCUCCGGCUAACUCCGUG
rnacentral:rRNA from 1 species